AUUGAACGCUGGCGGCAGGCCUAACACAUGCGAGUCGAGCGGAUGAAGGGAGCUUGCUCCUGGAUUCAGCGGCGGACGGGUGAGUAAUGCCUAGGAAUCUGCCUGGUAGUGGGGGAUAACGUCCGGAAACGGGCGCUAAUACCGCAUACGUCCUGAGGGAGAAAGUGGGGGAUCUUCGGACCUCACGCUAUCAGAUGAGCCUAGGUCGGAUUAGCUAGUUGGUGGGGUAAAGGCCUACCAAGGCGACGAUCCGUAACUGGUCUGAGAGGAUGAUCAGUCACACUGGAACUGAGACACGGUCCAGACUCCUACGGGAGGCAGCAGUGGGGAAUAUUGGAAAAUGGGCGAAAGCCUGAUCCAGCCAUGCCGCGUGUGUGAAGAAGGUCUUCGGAUUGUAAAGCACUUUAAGUUGGGAGGAAGGGCAGUAAGUUAAUACCUUGCUGUUUUGACGUUACCAACAGAAUAAGCACCGGCUAACUUCGUG
rnacentral:rRNA from 1 species